rnacentral:rRNA from 1 species
UACGACUACAUAUCAGGCAUAUCAAUAAGCGGAGGAAAAGAAACUAACUAGGAUUCCCUCAGUAACGGCGAGUGAAGCGGGAAGAGCUCAAAUUUGAAAUCUUCAAGGUUCUACCUUGACGAAUUGUAGUUUAAAGAAGUGUUUUCUGUUGGAGUUUUCGGUAAAAGUUCUUUGGAAUAGGACAUCAUAGAGGGUGAGAAUCCCGUAUUUGACCAUUUAUUUCAGCUGUGUGAUACACUUUCAAAGAGUCGGAUUGUUUGGGAAUGCAGUCCAAAAUGGGUGGUAAAUUUCAUCUAAAGCUAAAUACUUGGCGAAAGACCGAUAGCGAACAAGUACCGUGAGGGAAAGAUGAAAAGAACUUUGAAAAGAGAGUUAAACAGUACGUGAAAUUGUCAAAAGGGAAGCGUUUGACACCAGUGUUGUUUAGUUCGAAAAUCAAUUAAAUAAUUUUUGAUUUUGUAUUGUUAAGACCUUAUCAGCUUACGGUACUUUUUUCUUAUUCUUUUUAAUGCACUUUUCGUUUAACAAGUCAACAUCAGUUUCUUUUGUUGUAAAAAGGUCAUUGGAAGGUGGCUUUCUUUUCGGAGAAAGUGUUUAUAGCCUUUGACUCCUGCAAUCGGAGAGACUGAGGUCUGCAGCGUAGAUCCUUCUUGGAUUAGAUUCAUUUGUGCUAAGUUAUAGUUUUUCAUAGACAACUUGUUGACUAUGAUUAAUCAUGUAGCUUACUCGUUUGCGCUAUUUUACCUACGCUUAGGAUGUUGACGCGCGUGUGUGCGUG